UGGUAACAGGCUGGCUCGGUAAACCCCAUCCGGAGCAAGACCGAAUAGGGAAGGGUUAAGGGUGGUCCCGCCUACCUUCCGGGUUGUGUCGCUCGAGCGUGCAGGCGACUGUACGCCUAGAAAGAUAAUCGUCACCGCGCAAGCGGAACAGAACUCGGCUUAUUGAUUGCUUGCUUCC
rnacentral:RNase_P_RNA from 1 species